rnacentral:rRNA from 1 species
AUUGAACGCUGGCGGCAGGCCUAACACAUGCAAGUCGAGCGAGCGGCGGACGGGUGUGUGAUGUCUGGGAAACUGCCUGCUGUAGGGGGAUAACUCCUGGAAACGGUAGCUAAUACCGCAUACCAUCGGAUGUGCCCCGAUGGGAUUAGCUAGUAGGUGGGGUAACGGCGCACCUAGGCGACGAUCCCUAGCUGGUCUGAGAGGAUGACCAGCCACACUGGAACUGAGACACGGUCCAGACUCCUACGGGAGGCAGCAGUGGGGAAUAUUGCACAAUGGGCGCAAGCCUGAUGCAGCCAUGCCGCGUGUAUGAAGAAGGCCUUCGGGUUGUAAAGUACUUUCAGCGGGGAGGCGUUACCCGCAGAAGAAGCACCGGCUAACUCCGUGCCAGCAGCCGCGGUAAUAC